GCGGUGAAACAGCUUCAUUUGUUAUCGGAGCUACAAUCUGCAGUCUAUGCCUGCUGCUCAACUUCAUCCCCAGCACCAGCGCACGUAAAUACCGAGGAGCUCCCAUUAUCACAUUUGAUGGCAGCGGUGCAGAGGACGUCUGCGAUGGCAAAGUUGGGGUCCAUGCCAACCCAGAUGACCCUACCACCUUUUAUAACUGUGAUCACGGUGUUGGCACUCUGAUGAAUUGUCCUUCAGGUCUGCGCUUUGCAAAAUCGUGCAGCUGCUGUGCCUCUACAGCCGACAUCUGCAAUGGCAAAUUUGGGCCUCAGACCAACCCAGAUGACCCACACAGCUUUUAUAACUGUAACUUUGGUAUUGGCACUCUGAUGCGUUGUCCUGGAAAUCUAGUCUUUAAAAAAUCGUGCAACUGCUGUGACUAUCCCCCCAAGACUUACAAACACUAAGGGGGUGAAGGCGCUCUGAUGUAUUGUCCUGCAAAUCUGGUCUUUUACAAAUCGUGCAAAUGCUGUGACUAUCCCUAACACAAUCCAAUGGAAAUAUACUGGUCAUAUUUAAACAGUGAGUUGAUCUCACGUUAAGUGGAUUGGGAUUGUUCUGUUUCUAGUUUAUUGGUUAUAAGUUUUAAUUUAACAAUUUCCACUUCUGCAUCUAAACAAAAAUGUUUUAAAAUGAUAUCAGUGC
ensembl:lncRNA